rnacentral:rRNA from 1 species
AUUUAGAGUUUGAUUCAUGGCUCAGGGACGAAACGCUGGCGGCGUGCUUAACACAUGCAAGUCAAGGGGGCCCUUUCGGGGGCAACCGGCGAACGGGUGCGUAACACGUGAGCAACCUACCCAAGUGUGGGGGAUAGCCGGGCCAACGCCCGGGUAAUACCGCAUACGUUCCACGAGGGGAGUCCCUUGUGGAGGAAACCUCCGGGGCACUUGGAGGGGCUCGCGGCCUAUCAGCUAGUUGGAGCGGUAACGGCGCACCAAGGCGAUGACGGGUAGCUGGUCUGAGAGGAUGGCCAGCCACAUUGGGACUGCGACACGGCCCAGACUCCUACGGGAGGCAGCAGUGGGGAGUAUUGCGCAAUGGGCGAAAGCCUGACGCAGCGACGCCGCGUGGGGGAUGAAGCAUUUCGGUGUGUAAACCCCUGUUGCCCGGGACGAACAAGCCUUU